GUGAGGAAUAUUGGACAAUGGGCGCAAGCCUGAUCCAGCCAUGCCGCGUGCAGGAAGACGCAUCUAUGGUGUGUAAACUGCUUUUGUACGGGAAGAAACACUCCCUCGUGAGGGAGCUUGACGGUACCGUAAGAAUAAGGAUCGGCUAACUCCGUGCCAGCAGCCGCGGUAAUACGGAGGAUCCAAGCGUUAUCCGGAAUCAUUGGGUUUAAAGGGUCCGUAGGCGGUUUAAUAAGUCAGUGGUGAAAGCCCAUCGCUCAACGAUGGAACGGCCAUUGAUACUGUUAGACUUAAAUUACAAGGAAGUAACUAGAAUAUGUAGUGUAGCGGUGAAAUGCUUAGAUAUUACAUGGAAUACCAAUUGCGAAGGCAGGUUACUACUUGUGGAUUGACGCUGAUGGACGAAAGCGUGGGGAGCGAACAGGAUUAGAAACCCGUGUAGUCC
rnacentral:rRNA from 1 species